AUUGAACGCUGGCGGCAUGCCUUACACAUGCAAGUCGAACGGUAACGCGGGGCAACCUGGCGACGAGUGGCGAACGGGUGAGUAAUGUAUCGGAACGUGCCCAGUUGUGGGGGAUAACUGCUCGAAAGAGCAGCUAAUACCGCAUACGACCUGAGGGUGAAAGCGGGGGAUCGCAAGACCCCGCGCAAUUGGAGCGGCCGAUAUCAGAUUAGGUAGUUGGUGGGGUAAGGGCCCACCAAGCCAACGAUCUGUAGCUGGUCUGAGAGGACGACCAGCCACACUGGGACUGAGACACGGCCCAGACUCCUACGGGAGGCAGCAGUGGGGAAUUUUGGACAAUGGACGCAAGUCUGAUCCAGCCAUGCCGCGUGCGGGAAGAAGGCCUUCGGGUUGUAAACCGCUUUUGUCAGGGAAGAAACGCUCUGGGUUAAUACCUCGGGGUAAUGACGGUACCUGAAGAAUAAGCACCGGCUAACUACGUGCCAGCAGCCGCGGUAAUAC
rnacentral:rRNA from 1 species